rnacentral:rRNA from 1 species
CGCCUUGCCAGCCCGCUACAGAAACUUAAAGGAAUUGACGGGGCCCGCACAAGCGGAGGAGCAUGUGGUUUAAUUCGAUGAUACGCGAGGAACCUUACCUGGGCUCGAACGUAAGAUGACUGUAGGUGAAAGCUUACAUCUCUUCGGAGCAUUUUACGAGGUGCUGCAUGGUUGUCGUCAGCUCGUGCCGUGAGGUGUCGGGUUAAGUCCCAUAACGAGCGCAACCCCUACCUUUAGUUGCCAUCAGGUUAAGCUGGGGACUCUAAAGGAACUGCCUACGCAAGUAGUGAGGAAGCGGGGAUGACGUCAAAUCAGCACGGCCCUUACGUCCAGGGCUACACACGUGCUACAAUGGCCGAUACAGAGGGCAGCUACCUGGUGACAGGAUGCAAAUCUCCAAAGUCGGUCUCAGUUCGGAUCGGAGUCUGCAACCCGACUCCGUGAAGUUGGAUUCGCUAGUAAUCGCGCAUCAGCCAUGGCGCGGUGAAUACGUUCCCGGGCCUU